ensembl:lncRNA
AAUUUUCACUGAUGAAUCUAAAAAAGACUUCAGAAUACAAUCUUAUCAAUGUCACUGUGAUUGGGAUACAGGCACCUUUUAUGAACCUGUUUGAUAACUUUGUCAUCUCCUUCUGAAAGUUGGCUACCAACAAGUGCAUCUCAAUAUGAGGAUCUCAUGACACUGUAAUUCGGGUGUCCACUGGUCUGUAGGUAUGGUGACUGUCACCUCUACCUCUUGUAUUCAUGCUGCCCUUGACUUUCUCCCAAUUCUCACUGGUGAGCACUGGGCUGACCCGUCUGAUGCUGCUGUGGCAAGCAUUCCACAGCUGCCUACUCUAUACACAGGCUGAGGAGGGCAGCUGAGUGGUUGUGCAAAAUCUAUUUGCACAAAUAUAUCUUCCCCAUUUACACCCAGUCAUACAUUCAAGCAUGUAAAGAAUGCUUUACACUUGGGUGGUAGGUGCUUUAUAUACAUUAUUUUUAAAAUUCUACACUAAACGUUUGAUAUAAGUAUUAUUGUCGAUAUUCUACAUCUUAGAAAAUUAAUUUCAGAGAAAUUAAAUAUCUUGCCCAAGCCACAUAGUCAGUAAGGGACGGAGAUGGGAUCUGAAUAGGUGUUUCUGACUACUGCAUUGGCAUUUCCCACUAUAUGCUGUGUGUCCCCCACUCCAUGUUUGGGCAAGAUAGUUUAGUGGUUCAGAGUAGGGACUGUGAAGUUAUCUGUCUGGUUUCGAAACCGCUUCCCAGGUUAUGGCCUAUUUGUCAUCUCUAUGCUUUAGUGCUAUGAUCUGCAAAAUGGGUAUAAAAACAGUGUAUAACUCACAGGGUUGGUAUAAGCAUUAAAUGUGCUAGUAUGUUAAAGUGCUUAGGAUAAUGCUUGCUAUAUAGUAAAUUCCAUUAAAUUAGCUAUUAUUAUUAUUUUAUUUUGAUCAUGCAAUAAAAAGAUCUUACUGAAAGGCAAAUGAUGUAAAGGGAGGAAGAGAGGUAGUCACACACUAAUUCAAUAGCCCAUUAUAGAGUCUGAGAAUUGAUAACUAGUCACCUAGCAGACCUGCAGGGAAAUGGAGACAUCGAGCACGUCUGUUUGACUAUUGGACAAGGGAGAUGGAGAAGUGCUACAGGUGCUGAUCGCUGGGGAGCAAGGGACACCAGAAGCCUAGAGAGGGUUGGAUCAACAAGAAGGAAGCACACGGCUUCUGCUUUAAAGUUUUCCUGAAAGUCAGCUCUGAUUGUAUUUUAUAUUAUGUUGUUGUUGUUGUCGUUGCUGUCAUUGUCAUUGUUGUUGUUGUUAGCCUUGUGGCAUCAUUUUGGUCCACUCUAUUUUAAAGAUAACAAUUGUCUUAUGUUGAUCCACUACUCUCCCAGGAUGGUCGUUCAAUAAAAAAAUUUUUUUGCUUUAACUCGGGCAUACUAAUGGAAUUUUGAAACAUCAUUAUUCAUUUUUAUUUAACAUCAAAUAUGUGGGGGAACAAUCAUAAAACUAUUUGAAGUUAUAUAUGGGACCUCUAUUCAAUCUAGGCCUUAAAUUUUCACUAUUUCCUAAUUUGAGUCAAUAUCUGGUGCCUAAUAAAGUCC